rnacentral:rRNA from 1 species
UUGAACGCUGGCGGCAGGCCUAACCCAUGCAAGUCGCGCGGAUGAAGGGAGCUUGCUCCUGGAUUCAGCGGCGGACGGGUGAGUAAUGCCUAGGAAUCUGCCUGGUAGUGGGGGAUAACGUCCGGAAACGGGCGCUAAUACCGCAUACGUCCUGAGGGAGAAAGUGGGGGAUCUUCGGACCUCACGCUAUCAGAUGAGCCUAGGUCGGAUUAGCUAGUUGGUGGGGUAAAGGCCUACCAAGGCGACGAUCCGUAACUGGUCUGAGAGGAUGAUCAGUCACACUGGAACUGAGACACGGUCCAGACUCCUACGGGAGGCAGCAGUGGGGAAUAUUGGACAAUGGGCGAAAGCCUGAUCCAGCCAUGCCGCGUGUGUGAAGAAGGUCUUCGGAUUGUAAAGCACUUUAAGUUGGGAGGAAGGGCAGCAAGUUAAUACCUUGCUGUUUUGACGUUACCAACAGAAUAAGCACCGGCUAACUUCGUG